UGCCUGGGAGGCCUUGAAGUGCUGUAGCAGCACAUCAUGGUUUGCAUGCUCUGCUCAAGGUGCGAAUCAUUAUUUGCUGCUGUAGGAAUUGAAGGCUCAGAAGCAGUU
rnacentral:pre_miRNA from 12 species